rnacentral:lncRNA from 1 species
CUUUUCCCGCACCGGUGGCCGGACUCUGCAUGAGUCACCGCCUGCCUGCAAGCCCAGAGCUCGCCGCACCCCCCUGCCUCUCCGCACCGUCCCACAGGCUGUGACCCUCCACCCAGCCAUAGACGGUUCUGCUCUUGGCACAAAGGAGGGCUUCUUAGCCGGGAAUAUGGCUGCCCGGGAGGGGCGACUUCUGUGCUUGUUUUUCCUUCCUGGCACUGAAAACAAGCACAUCCACCCAACAAAUAAAGACGCGGUCAAUGAAAGCAGCUGUGUUUCAAGGGGAGACAGGGAGCAAGCCAAGGAAUAAAUGAAAAGACCCAGUGACAAAAUGCCCAUUCAUCGGGUUCACUCGGCAAACAUUUACUGAAGCAUCUGUGUGCCAGGCACUGUCCUGAGUGCUGGGAAGACACAAAGAUGCCCUUCAGAACGAUGACCCCCGCCUCGCCCUCCGCUGGAACCGGGAGGCAGACACACACAUAAAUACGACACAGUCAACCGUCCCCAGUUCACAGCAUCUAAAGGAGCUAGGAAUGCAUGGGAUGCUUAUGGAAUGUGCGAGAACACGGAGACAAAGUCUCACUGUGUUCCCAGGCUGAUCCCCAACUCCUGAGCUCAAGCCAGCCACCAGCCUUGGCCUCCCAAAGUGCUGGGAUUACAGGCGUGAGCCACCACGCCGGGCCCAGAUGAACAGACUUCAUGGCUGAGACAGAGCUGAGAGCAGAGAAAACAGACUCAUAAAAUCCUGGCAGAAUCUUUCCAUUCUAAUAGAGAAAAGAGGAAGGUAUGGAAAAGAGUGAAAUUGGCAUAAAAAAUCCAAUAAAGGGCAACGAGCAGGAAACAACAAAAACAUGGGAAACUGCCGACCUGAGGAAUCGCGCUCUUCUAACUUUACAGCUUCACCUGCCGUGUUUGCUCCUGGAGGACUGAGACUUUUGUCUGAUUCGUCUGCUGCUGUCUUCCCGAUGCCUAGAACACUGCCUGAUGCACGGGAAGUAUUUGUCAGAUACAUCCCAUGGCUUCUAAUGCCAUUUGCAAGGAUGAAAGCUGGGUGUGCCCGGCUGUACGGCAAUACUUCCAAAGGCCUGUAGGACUCCCCAGUGACUGUCCCAUUCACCAGGAGGAGGACUGCAGUCACCUGCAUUGUCCUGGGAAGGUCAGCCAGGCCUUUUCCCAAUGUCUGUCUGGGAAAAGCCCCGGUGUAGUCUGCUCGGUCCUACACCCAGAAUCACGGGGGCUUCAGGAGCAGGCAUUACGAGGCAAGGAGUAGCUUCUCCCCCUCACCUCCCACUCAGCAGAACGCACUAGCCCUGUGCUCUUCUGAUCCUGAAGGCAGCUGAGUCUGAAAAGUUCCUGUACCUUUAAAGGUACUAGAGGCAGUGUGGUGCCCACUCAGGAACUGCAUGAUUUAAAUAGGUUUCUAGGAUAAAGGCAACUCGUAGCACAAAGGAACAAGUCCCAGGGAGUGGCAUUCCAGAUCAUUUGAUUCCUGAGCGAAGGAAUUAUUAUGGUGUGGAGGUGGGGACCUCCUUACUACAUUCCAAAUUGCAAUAAGGUUGUAAGGGUUUUCUCUUCCAUUCUGAAGUACUUUGACAAUAGUUUUGAACUUCAAAAAUGUUUAUUAAAGGUGUUUUCACAGCAGUUUCAUAAUGUUUAAUUUGUUAAUUACUGGAAUUGAUGCUAAAUAAAACAGGCAAGUAAUACUUCAGAUGGCUUCAUCUUCAGAGUCUUCUUCAUGUGUGACUCAAAAUGCACAAUUUUGGCCGGGCACAGUGGCUCACGCCUGUAAUCCCAGCACUUUGGGAGGCUGAGACAGGCGGAUCACCUGAGGUCAGGAGUUUGAGACCAGUUUGGCCAACAUGGUGAAACCCCAUCUCUACUAAAAAUACAAAAAUUAGAUGGGCAUGGUGGUGUGUGCCUGUAAUCCCAGCUGCUUGGGAAGCUGAGGCAGGAGAAUUGAUUGAACCCAAGAGGCGGGGCUUGCAGUGAGCCGAGAUCCCGCUCCAGCCUGGGCAACAAGAGCGAGACUCCGUCUCAAAAAAAGAAAAAAAAAGCACAAUUUCAGGACAGCCUAAGCAAAUAAAAAAUGGGAAAUGGAAAUGGAUUCGAAGCAGGGAGGACGUUCCGCCCACUGUCACACCGAAGGAAUGGUGGAGGCUGUGAGUCCUCCGCCCACUGUCACACCGAAGGAUGGUGGAGGCUGUGAGUCCUCCUGUAAGCCGCCGCUGGAGAAGGGGCAGCUCUGGAACCUGACGACAUUCUCCUAUCUUGCAUGAGGUGGAGACAAAGAGUCCUUCUGCGCUGGGACAGGAUGAGGGCGAAGUGGUGACUUCAGGUCAGAAGCAGAGCCUUGGGGACCUCUGAUUCUCAAGGGCGAGCUCCCUCCAGAACCCCAAGAGAUGGCCCUGACUGCAUGGGAAAGCGUGUCUCACCAUUGCAAUGUUCUCUAAGUCUGGAGGAGGCGGAGCCCAGUGAGAAUGACAGGCAGACCGCAAGGAGGCCCGGAAGCCCCCCAUGGCGAGGAUGCAUCCAAGUGUAUUCUGUAGGAGUGACCAGUGGCCACGUGGGUAGUGGGCAGAGCUUGUUUUCCUCCAAUAUCAGCGUACAGAGCAGGGGAGCCUGGUGAAGGUUUCUCUCUGAAAUCAUGGAUUCAGCUGUAUUAGUUUCUAUCCAAGGCUGGCAUAGCUCACCUUCCACUCCAGCAAUGACCUCGGGCCAGCUGUCACGAGCCUUCUCACCACGAGGAUGGUCUGGGGUGGUGAGAUCUCACUGUUGGCCAUAAUUCAUUCAACAUUUCUUCACUUCUCUGCUUAAUUUUGGUCGAAUGUCAUGC